AGAGCGGUAUCGUAAAGCCCGGUGACUCUGGCUGUUCGUAGAACAGCCUAGCUGCUCCUGAGAUGGAGUGGGAGAGAUUGAAAUCGGAGCCCAGGGUGAGCCGCUUU
rnacentral:sRNA from 12 species